GGCAAAAAAUUACAACCUGUUUUCUUGCCGUACGUGUACCACGGCGGUUGGCAUUUCUUGCGUAGUGAUAGACGCGAUGGAGACACACUACAUGCCGCGUACACAACCGGCAAAAAGCUCUGCAACGAGCAGGUUGUGUUUUUUACAGAAUGGCGUGUUGGUGAAUGUGUCAGAGUAUGGAUAGCAAUAACCCAAUUGUAAAGUGCGCCAUACUGGCCAGUUGGAUGCAGCUAGAACGGGUUGAGCGGGGUUUUCCGGCGACCAGGCCGAGAUUAUGGAGUUUGAGUUGCAUGGCUACCUGCCGCAAUGUCGAGACAAUACGAUUGGCGUUCCGCUGUGCAUGUACAACGAACGUGAACGAUAAACAAAUGUGAUGUUCGCUGGACAAGACAUGAAAUUUGCAACAAUAACGACGACAUCUGACUUGAUCGAUCCACCUGCGCUAACGCCACUUGAAUGUUUUGAGGAGUCUAUGGGUGUUCGCGGUUCGCGGCCAUUUUUACAAAUCGAGUUCGAUGUGUUCGCAGCAAAAACGUCCUGUGUUGUAUUUGACCAAGGAGAGGUGUGUGUUUGGUGGUUUUUAAUUUAAUUUUGAAGUAGUAACUGAGCCAGUACAAAACUUGCAACAGUGCAGUAAUUAAUAGCUAUGUCUUUAUCUCCAUGUAAAAUGCAUCCGUUAUCAGUUAAGUUUAAUCAGAAGGAUUGAACCGUCAGAAUUACUGUAUAAGAUUAAUUUACACAGCGUAAGUACAACAUUACGUUACAAAAGAUGGGACAGCUCAAGGAAAUCUGGAGAUGCAGUUUUAUGAACGCACAAUUCAAGCGGAUGAAAUACUCUGGAUAGCAAAUGCUCGAUAGUUGUUGAUACCUUGGGAGUUUUUGAGCAUGCUUAAGUGAGUCGAUGCAUUUUUAGGUAUGACGUUUGGGAAAUAGAGUGAAAAUUUGCGAGAAGGGCGUGAUUGCUUGUCUUACGCAGCGCUUUAGUAUGGCGACUCUAAAAAAAAAUUCUAAGACCAUUUUGGAUACGAGUACACAGUCAUUUAGUGCACGGGAAAAAAUUUUGCUUGACGUUAGAACGGCAUAAUUAUCGGUGAAUGCACAUGUUUGAACUUUUUAUACUAUUAAAGCAGAUUGAUGUUAACAUUAAGUUGCUCCUGGAAUAAUUUUCUUCACGUUCUUUUUUCUUACUUUCGUUACUUCUUAUUUUGUUGUACAUCUAAAAAAUGAGUUUUAUAUUAUCGAAGAUGGCUAUAAAAUUUCCGAACCAUAACACAGCAGCAUGCCCUCUAUGGCGCGUCAACAACUUUUAAAAAUCAACAACAACACCGUAUCAGCUGUAAUCGCAUCCUGAAACGUAGCACUCAGUCAGCGCUUUUUACAGCUGUGGGGAAGAAGCCAUAAAUACCUGUGCACUAAAAUGCAACUUAUCACCACUGCUAUAAAUAAAACGUGAUAACACUGUGCGUAAGUAACGCGAUAACAUUAUUUCCUUGACCUUGUCCGAUCCGUUUCCGGGUAGCGUAACUUGGAACCCUCGUAUCAAACGUCUGUCUGAACAAGUGGUAAGAGUGUGAACGUUUGCUUUCCAGGACACGGUAAGAACGUCCUUUAACUGGUGCACAUAAUAUGUAUUUUAGUGCUGUAUUGUUAUAAUUCUUCAUGUACCCAAAGUAGAUUAAGGGGCAAAGUGCUCUUAUAAACGCAUUGUUUCGUCAUUUAUGUUGCAGGUGCUUAUUUGUUCGGACACGCAUUACAGCAGUGGGAAUUUGUUGUAACUGAUUAAUCAUGCAGCAUAAUCUCGUUUAUUCAUCGUUUUAUCGUUCACAGGUGCGGAAACAACAAUCGUAAAUGAUUCACGUCCGUCGACGGGCUGACAAUCUUUCCGAAGAAUGAAGCAUUGUGAUUUAGUUAGAACAAGAAUUCAUUUGGCAAACAGCACUUAAUUUGUCGUGAGUUAUUUUCUUUGUGCGAAAAACUUAGUAUUAAUUACAUCGCGUCGUAAAUAUUGAUUUACUGACAGGUCUGCUGGCCUGUACCAUCAGCGGUAGGUACAUUUAAGGUCACCGCUCCCUGGCGGAGAUUCAAUGCACCGGACGCGCUUCGAACUGGUGCCAGUGAUUUACCUGCAAAAUAAAUACAGUUAGUAAUACAAAACAAGCAGCUUGAAAACGGUUUGAAAUUUAAAGCUAAUAUUUUUAUAAUUGAAAUCUGCACGUACCGGCAACGUUUUCCACUGGGAGUGCGCCUUCUGGGCAGAUCGGCAGAGCCAUGGGCAGGCUGUUGUCGAAGCGACAGUGGAUGAUGUCGCAGUCCACUUUACCGGAGUUCACCGGCAAACCGUGGACUUUGAGGUCAUACGAACGGCCAACGUUUCCGACCUGACGGGCUUCCACGGUGUAGCCGUUUCCGUUGACAGCGCGUCUGUAACAAAGACAAUUCCAACGUCUGCUUUUUUGGAAAAUAAUUAUUAAGUCCUUACCCGUUCUGCACCAAUGGAAUGACAUUGGCAGGGUUGACAUCGCUGGUGACACGGCAGCUCUGCAGAGCAUAGCCCAUUCCCUUUCGUGCAGGGCCGGUGGGUUCGGUAGUGAUCUGGAUGUCACAGGCGGCUGGGCCGGGCAGCGGGGAGAUGAUGAUUCUGUGGACGAACACAUCGGUUUAUGAAUGUGCAUAGCAAACGACAUUUAGUAUAAUAUGAUUUUAGGUUAUAUAUACGUAUCCCUUAUUUAGUACAUUAUAAUAAUUUACUGUAGUACAAUUAAAACAUGUAUUGUACGUAUUUAAAUUAUACAUGCUAUACAUACGUAUCCCCUAUUCAGUGCACUCUGUUUAUUACAACGUGUAUAGACUGUACGUGUUUAAAUAUUCAUGUAUUAUUGUAUAUAUCUAACAAGUACGUACUCGAAUCCGAAUGUUGUACACUGCGACAAGGAGAUCUCGUUAAUUUCAGGCUCAAUCAGAUCCUUCUUGUCAUCCUCGGGCGACCACAGACAGCAGAAAUCCACUUCAUAUUGUCCCACCCACGCCAACGGCGACUGCGAUCCCGGUACGAGAACGAACUGCUGGAGAUUGGCUCGGCCGCAGUACUUCUUGGAGCAGGCUUUGGGGGUGGCCCCGUAAUUCGUUUCGUCGCACACUUCGUUGGUGUCGGUUUUGGUUAAAUCGGACAGGCUUCCGGUCGCCACCAGUUCCUGAUCCGCACCGGGAUCCGCGACCUGGCGACCCAAGACCUCCAGAUAGCCGUUGGUACUGCGGCUGUAGCUGUCGCCACGACGCACAUGCAGUUCGAAGCCGUUCUCAUUGGGACCGGUGAAACAAUUCAGCUGGAACACCGCCUUGAUCCCCUUGCGUUCGUUGUAGACUAAGUCUUUCUCCGUGCUCUUUUGAAGGUGACCCCGGAGCGAGACGGUGCGGGCCUGCACCGUGGCGGCCGCUGCUACGACGCACAGUAAAAUUGCGAGAGUAUUCAUUUUCUUGAGGAUCAGUAUAAAAU